ensembl:lncRNA
GGAGAAGAAAAAAUCCUUGGGAAUAGCAGGAUUUGGAUCCCCUUUGGAUCCCUUAGGAGGAUUUGGGAUCCCCUUGGAUCCCAAAAUUUGGGAUAUUUUUGGGCCUCAUCCCAGGAUUUUUCUGGGACCAAAAUCCUCGGGAAUAUCCCCUUUGGAUCCCUUAGCAGGAUUUGGGAUCCCCUUGGAUCCCAAAUUUUGGGAUCCCUUUGGAUGGUCCCAGGGCCUCAUCCCAGGGUUUCUCUGGGACUAAAAAUCCUCGGGAAUAUCAGGAUUUGGGAUCCCUUUAAAUCUCAAAAUUUGGGAUCUUUUUGGGCCUCGUCCCAGGGUUUUUCUGGGACCAAAAAUCCUCGGGAAUAGCAGGAUUUGGGAUCCCUUUGGAUCCCAAAAUUUGCGAUCCCUUUGGGUGGUCCCAGAGCCUCAUCCCAGGGUUUUUCUGGGACUAAAAAUCCUCAGGAAUAGCAGGAUUUGGGAUUCCUUUGGAUCCCCUUAGGAGGAUUUGGGAUCCCUUUGGAUCCCAGAAUUUGGGACCUUUUUGGGCCUCAUCCCAGGGUUUUUCUGGGACCAAAAAUCCUCGGGAUUAUCAGAAUUUGGGAUUCCUUUGGAUCCCAAAAUUUGGGAUAUUUUUGGGCCUCAUCCCAGGGUUUUUCUGGGACCAAAAAUCCUUGGGAUUAUCAGAAUUUGGGAUCCCCUUGGCUCACAAAAUUUGGGAUAUUUUUGCAUCCCAGGGUUUUUCUGGGACCAAAAAUCCUCGGGAACAGCGGGAUUUGGGACUCCUUUGGAUCCCAAAAUUUGGGAUAUUUUUGGGCCCCACCCCAGGGGUUUUUUUUGGGAAGUGGGAUCGCAGCUGUGCCACCUUGGGCUCCAGGGAAGUUUUUUGUCGGUUUGGGAUUUUUGGGGUUUUUUGUCCCCACAGAAAAUGGGUCGGAGUUGAGGUGGGGGUGGGGACACCCUGGAGGUGACAGGGACAUGGAGAUGUCACCAUGGAGGUGACAGGGACAUGGAGAUGUCACCAUGGAAGUGACAAGGACAUGGAGAUGUCACCGUGGUGGUGACAGGGACAUGGAGAUGUCCCUCAGGAGGUGACAAGGACACUGGGAUGUCCCUCAGGAGGUGCUGGGGACAUGGAGAUGUCACCAUGGAGGUGGCAAGGACAUGGAGGUGACACCCUGGAGGUGACAGGGACACGGGGAUGUCCCUCGGGAGGUGACAAGGACAUGGGGAUGUCCCUCAGGAGGUGACAAGGACACAGAGGUGUCCCUCAGGAGGUGACAAGGACAUGGGGAUGUCCCUCAGGAGGUGACAAGGACACGGGCAUCGCUCUGGGCCUGCUGGGGACAUCCUUUGUCACAUUCCCAUUUUUUCCCUUUUCUUUCUUUGUCCUCCUUUCCCCCAUUUCCCCCUUUUCUCUCCCUUAUUUCUCCUUUUCCCCUUUCCUCCUUUUUCCCUUUCCUUUUCCCUUUUCCCUUUUCCCUUUUCCCUUUUCCCCUUUUCCCCCUUUUCCCUUUUCCCUUUCCCCCUUUCCCCCUUUCCCCUUCCCCUUUCCCAUUUCCUUUUCCAUUUUCCUUCCCUUUCCCUUUUCCCCUUUCUGUUUU